ensembl:lncRNA
GCAAGGAUUAAGCUGGACUUCCAUGGUACUCUGUACCAGUAUCUGCUUCACUGGUAUUAGGCCAGUGUGUCAGGUGGAGGGACUGUGCAGUAUGCCACAUGUGUUGUAAGCAGUCCUUCCAAUAGACUCAGUCUGCAAUUGAUCCGUUGUACCAAAGUAAAGGAGCAUGCAGAGUUUUAUUUCUGCGUUAUUGUGUGGACUGCUCUGUGGAAGCUCUGUGUUUGCUCACCAGUGUCUAGCAGAGUGAGGGCAGAUGAGCUGGAGGAGUUCUGUCUCAGAGAGCAGCAGUCAGGCAUUAGUCCUGGAAGAACACCAAGAAAAAAGUCACUUAGUUCCUGAUGAAUUGCAUGUCUGUUUGUGCCUCAUAGCCGCACAGGUAUGUAUGUGAAUUUCCUAUAGCUAUGUAAAUGUAUGUAUUAACUGUUGCAUUACUACAUUUUGUUUACUAAAGUUGCUUAUAGAUGUCGUAAUAUGCAAUUGUUAAUUUUUGAUCACUUGUCAUUAAAUAUUGACAGUUCCAAAGAACUGUACUUUGUACACACUUUGCAUUGCAUAUCACUGUAAGAAUAAGAUCCACAUUUCUAAGAUUUGAUGAGGCAGAAUAAUUUUAAUUACAAAGCAUUCAUCUGGUGAAGAUUAGAGAGUAUUUUAUGGAACUGUGCUGUUAAAGCAACUGGUGAGUGAGGUCAGAGCAUUGGAGAAGCACUGUCUUUGGUAUCUUUGUUUUAUUAUCAAACUUCCUUGAUGCAUUUCAGGUUGAUUCUUUGCCGAGGUCGCUUUAGGUCAGAAGUGGCUGCAGCCCUACUCUCUUCUGCAUUGUCUCAGUAGCCAGAUGAAUCUGGACUGGGUGGGAAUGUUUACGGUAGUUUAAAAUUUCAGCCAUGCGCUGUUGUUGUUCCUGGGCAACAGGCAGGAAAUCUCCAAAGCUUGGUUGCACCUGCGCAGUCAUAGGCUGGAAACACACAGAAGCCCGUUAGCAGAUCGUCCGUGCUGUUGUGGAUCUGUGUUUCAUGCACUCAUGAGUUGGAAGGAUAGGAGUUGUAGGCUUUGGACUGUUGCAUUGGGCCGUUAUAACACUCACUGGCUAUAGUAUUCAGAUACUUUUACUUUAUUCUUUGUUUUGUGUCUCAAAUAUUUUUAAUAUAUCCCAACUGCCUUAGAAAACGUAUAUCUCACAUAGUGUAUCUCUCGAGAAAAGCGUGUUGGUAAUUUUUUGUCCUAAGAGAGACAUUUUGUGUUUGGCUUGAUUUCACCAUGUUGGCAGCCCCUCUGCGUGGGGCUGGAUGUAGUUAUUGAUCCAUUUAGCUGAACAGAUUUGAAAGCAUUUGGCUAUUAGUGGACACAUGGGGCACAUUCAGAAAAUGUAAGAGUAUACUGUAAGAUUUUACUUGUGUAUGUGUCUCUUCUGCAGUUGGGGUUGAAGAAAUGGGGAAAGAAACUGAAAAUUAAGUAGUAAAUUCUAGAAGAGGGGCUAACAUACACAUGAAAUUUUAAGGCUGCUAUGUUAUCAUUUGAUCAAAUCUAGCUCCUUGGCGUUUUUUCCAGAGUUACUUGUAGUGCAAUUCAGUUUCUUCUGUUAAUAGCUUUAUUUAUGUUGUGACAAAUUAGUAUAUCUUUAAGAGAUUUGAACUAUUAUUGAAUUUAUCUUCGGUAAAGUUCUGUAAGUGAAAUUCAAACAGCUGUACUUUUAUAUAAAGGUAUUUAAUUAAUUGAUUCCCUUGUCCCAAAUUCCUGAUACUGAAAACUUGUUUGUAUGGCUUGUAUUAGUCUCCUUAACAUGCUAAAAAUAUUAAAGAUUUUUCCAUGAGAAUUUAAUAACCCAAAUCCUAAGUCUUAGAACUGCUGUAUUUUCCUACUAUUAGCAUACAGCAGAUAUUUGUUUGAAAUAAUACAUCAUUACAAUAUGGCCUGGAUUAACCUCUUGGGAACUAGAAAAUAGACACAAAGGAGGUAGAGGAGAGUCUGUGGCUCCUUACCAUAGUACCUUGUACAGAGCAUUUGGUCAGGGCGUGCUGGCUAGAAUAAAACAUGCCAGGCAGUGUGGUAGAAAUGGAGGGACUAGGGUUGGGGAUUUAGCUCAGUGGUAGAGCGCUUGCCUAGGAAGCGCAAGGCCCUGGGUUCGGUCCCCAGCUCCGAAAAAAAGAACCAAAAAAAAAAAAAAAAAAAAAAAAAAAAAAGAAAUGGAGGGACUAUGCCCUGGGGCCGGGUAGCCUGUGGAAGCAUGUUGGGUGAAUGGUUAUGGACUUUACUUUCACAUGGCCAGUUAGAUAUAGAUAAAUCUUGUUUUUGAAAACAAAUGUAGAUGUAAAAAUCUCCUCAGUUUCAUUGUUAUAGAUUAAGAAUUACAAUACUACUAUUUAUUUAUACAAGUUAUUUAUUGACUACUGACUAUGAGAAAAAUAUUUUUAUUCUCCCUGUUAUACAUUCAGAGGCUGAGACAUCCAUACUUAAGUUCCUUGUCACCUUGGAAACUCUUCAGAGCAUAGGCAUGAGUAAACCCUUUGUGCUCCCUCCUUCCCCAAUGCUAGGUCAUCAACUUCACAGAAAUAAAAUGGGUCUUGACUUUCUUUGGGUCAGGUAGGAACAGAACAUAUUAAAAAGGUGUAGUUGUUUUACUAAGCAGAAAUAAUGGAGCCUGUAUUUACUAUAUACAUAUUUACAAUAGUUUCUAUUCGCCGCUGAAUCCCAACUGCAAAUGCAUAACAAAGGUAUAGUUAAAACAGAGCAGCUAAGACUUGCUGAAGGUCCUUCUAAGAUUACAUUUUGUGUCUGGAGGUCAGCACAUUAAAAUGACCCAGGUCUUAAGACAGUAAUAACUACUUACUUACUUUUAUUUUUAUUUAUUUUUUUAGCAAUCGAGUGCUUGUUCUUUGCUUGACUUAGUAACAAUAAAUCAUAGUCCUUCCUCAAGGAUCAGAAUGACAAAGAGGACAACAUAGAUAUAUUAAUAGCAUCUUUUUAUUUUUUUAGGUUUUACCACUUACUAUUAAUGGAAUCUUUUAUAUCCUCAUUUGUAAAAUUCUAAAACUAUAAAUUUCAUGUAUUAAUGCACUGAAAAUUAGAUAGCAUGUGUAAAAUUUUAAUGCAAAGGUUAGUACAUAGCAGAUGCUUAAAAUUUCUUUCUUAUCUGUGUGGCCACUUCUAAGACUACUACUGCCACCAGGAUAACUGGUUUUAGAUACUUAGGGAAACCAUCUGUGGAACAAGAUUUGUCCUUCUAGUCUGGAGCUGUCUAAUAGAUUGUGUCAGAGGUAAUAGCGA